rnacentral:ncRNA from 1 species
UUUUUUAUUGGUGAUGGAGUCCACCGUUAAUUGCUUUAUUGCUGAUGACUCCUGGAUUUUU